rnacentral:rRNA from 1 species
UACGUAGGGUGCAAGCGUUUAAUCGGAAUUACUGGGCGUAAAGCGUGCGCAGGCGGUUAUGUAAGACAGGUGUGAAAUCCCAGGGCUUAACCUUGGAACUGCAUUUGUGACUGCAUAGCUAGAGUACGGUAGAGGGGGAUGGAAUUCCGCGUGUAGCAGUGAAAUGCGUAGAUAUGCGGAGGAACACCGAUGGCGAAGGCAAUCCCCUGGACCUGUACUGACGCUCAUGCACGAAAGCGUGGGGAGCAAACAGG